AUGCAGUCGACGGUAACGAUGGUAGCUUGCUACCAGGCGACGAGUGGCGGACGGGUGAGUAAUACAUAGGAAUCUGCCUUAUAGUGGGGGACAACCUGGGGAAACCCAGGCUAAUACCGCAUACGCCCUUCGGGGGAAAGGCUUCGGCCGCUAUUAGAUGAGCCUAUGUCUGAUUAGCUUGUUGGUGGGGUAAUGGCCCACCAAGGCGACGAUCAGUAGCUGGUCUGAGAGGACGAUCAGCCACACUGGGACUGAGACACGGCCCAGACUCCUACGGGAGGCAGCAGUGGGGAAUAUUGGACAAUGGGCGAAAGCCUGAU
rnacentral:rRNA from 1 species